GACGAACGCUGGCGGCGUGCCUAAUACAUGCAAGUCGAACGCAGUGGGGCCGGGUGAGUAACACGUGGGUAACCUCCCAUCAGAGGGGAUAACACUUGGAUACAGGUGCUAAACCGAUACUGAUGGAUGGACCAGCUGUGCAUUAGCUAGUUGGUGAGGUAACGGCUCACCACGGCCACGAUGCAUAGCCGCUCUGAGAGGGUGAUCGGACACACUGGGACUGAGCCACGGCCCAGACUCCUACGGGAGGCAGCAGUAGGGAAUCUUGCGCAAUGGACGAAAGUCUGAUCGAGCAAUGCCGCGUGAGUGAAGAAGGUUUGCGGAUCGUAAACCUCUGUUGUUAGGGAAGCGGUAUCUACCCAGAAAGCCACGGCUAACUACGUGCCAGCAGCCGCGGUAAUAC
rnacentral:rRNA from 1 species